rfam:Nematostella vectensis strain CH2 x CH6 NEMVEscaffold_3738_Cont46083, whole genome shotgun sequence.
GUUGCGGUGGCCGAGCGGUUAAGGCGUUGGACUAGAAAUCCAAUGGGAUCUUCCCGCGCAGGUUAGAGUCCUGCCGGCAACG